rnacentral:tRNA from 1 species
AUUCAUUUAUGUAGAUUAUUUCUACAAAUAGUA